UUGACCUCAAAUCAAGUAGGAAACCCGAUCU
rnacentral:rRNA from 1 species